rnacentral:lncRNA from 1 species
CUUUUUCAUCCCCAUUCAAAUAGGAUCUGUCAUAAGACAUCCUGAAUAGGAUAUUGAAAUGAUCAGAGCACAGUCUUGGACUCUGGUCCAUAAAGCACGACCUGAGUGCAUGAUGGCCCAGAACUGUGAAAAAGAAGAGGAGUCAGGAUCUCUGCUGGGCUAGAGCCUACGUUCCAGCGGCGGGCAGAGGAGACAGACAAGAACCAAGAAAAUAAAUAAGCAAGAUGCAUUCCAGUAAGCCUUUUCUUCAAACAAAAUCUUAUCCAGAAUGCUCUUCCCGCUGUCAUCACGGAGGCCUCAGCUCAAAUACCACCUCCUCAGAGAGCCCGUCCUUAACCACAGCAUCUAAAGCUGCUCCACCUUUUCCUUCCUCCUAGUCACUCUGUCGCAUUCCCUGUUUCAUCAUGCUCGUAUCACUUACAACCCAAAAUUGACUUGUCUAUUUGUUUACUUGUCUUCCCUACUAGAAUAUAAUGGUC